UUUUUUUUUUUUUUUGAGCGAAUUUGAGUCGUGACAUGUCAAAGGAGAACAAAAACUGUGAACACAAGAAGGGUCAGAUGUGUUCUGCGAGGUCCUGCAAACAUACUGGCAAAAUGAGAGUCAUCAAGGAUCCAGCUUAUUCUUGAAACAUUGGACGGUACAGAAAGUGCACAAGUGGGAGAGAGUGGAGGGGACGGCGUCAGAAAGGACCUAGCGCUGGGACACUUUCAAGGAUCACCCGAAGCACAACCACACUAUAUGCACGAGGCUGUUGGUUCUAACAUUUUAGAGUCCCCUGCGGUAGACAUCUCAUUCUGCAUUCCCCACAGUAAAGAAGACUCCCCCACUCAGGGUGCCCUCUCUAACACUGGGCCCUUGGAAUUGUCCUAAUCUUCCCUCCCCUUACAGUGGUCUUGGUUGAAGGUUCCCUUCUUAAACUGUGCAACACAUUUUCACUGCACAAAUGUACACAUCUCUUGUCAUGAGACACAUUGCUAAAACAUGUUUUUUACAGAAACUGUAGUUUUCCUCCAAAAUAAAAGAUCAAUUGGUUUCAGUCAUAAA